rnacentral:rRNA from 1 species
AUGCAGCAAGUGGCCAAUACAUCCAGCAACAACGCCAUAUCAAGAUGGGUCCAUCCCCCUGAAGGUAUAGCAAAAAUUCGAGUUGAUGAUGCUGUUUCAAGAUCUGCGAAGGAAGGAACCUAUAGUGCAAUAUGCAGGGACCAUGAUGGCAAAUAUUUGGUCUCAUCAGCCAUCAAAGUCUCGGGUAUCACGGACCCGGGGACUCUCGAGGCGUUAGCUUGUCGCGAGGCGCUUGCUCUAGCCCUGGAUCUUGGGCUGCCAAAUAUACUGGUUGGCUCAGAUUGCAAAGUUGUGGUGAACAACAUCAAGCUAGGCACGGGAGGUAUGUAUGAAAGCAUAAUGAAGGAAAUAAGAAAUACGUCCGAGCAAUUUUAG